rnacentral:rRNA from 1 species
GACGAACGCUGGCGGCGUGCCUAAUACAUGCAAGUCGAGCGGAAUGAUGAAGAAGCUUGCUUCUUCUGAUUUUAGCGGCGGACGGGUGAGUAACACGUGGGCAACCUACCUUGUAGAUUGGGAUAACUCCGGGAAACCGGGGCUAAUACCGAAUAAUCCAUUUUGCUUCAUGGCGAGAUGUUGAAAGACGGUUUCGGCUGUCACUAUAAGAUGGGCCCACGGCGCAUUAGCUAGUUGGUAGGGGUAAUGGCCUACCAAGGCGACGAUGCGUAGCCGACCUGAGAGGGUGAUCGGCCACACUGGGACUGAGACACGGCCCAGACUCCUACGGGAGGCAGCAGUAGGGAAUCUUCCACAAUGGACGAAAGUCUGAUGGAGCAACGCCGCGUGAGUGAAGAAGGUUUUCGGAUCGUAAAACUCUGUUGUAAGGGAAGAACACGUACGAGAGUAACUGCUCGUACCUUGACGGUACCUUAUUAGAAAGCCACGGCUAACUACGUG